ensembl:snRNA U6 U6 spliceosomal RNA
GUGCUUGCUUCGGGAGUACAUAUACUAAGAUUGGAACAGUAUAGAGAAGAUUAGCACGGCCCCUGCAAGGAUGACACUCAGAUUCGUGAAGCGUUCCAUAUGUUU